GACGAACGCUGGCGGCGUGCCUAAUACAUGCAAGUCGAACGGAGUGGGGACGGGUGAGUAACACGUGGGUAACCUCCCAUCAGAGGGGAUAACACAUGGCAACAGGUGCUAAACCGAUACUGAUGGAUGGACCGGCGGGGCAUUAGCUAGUUGGUGAGGUAACGGCUCACCAAGGCCACGAUCCAUAACCGACCUGAGAGGUGGAUCAGCCACACUGGGCCUGAGACACGGCCCAGACUCCUACGGGAGGCAGCAGUGGGGAAUAUUGCACAAUGGGCGCAAGCCUGAUCCAGCCAUGCCGCGUGUGUGAAGAAGGCCUUAGGAUUGUAAAGUACUUUCAGCUGGGAAGCGUUACCCGCAGAAGAAGCACCGGCUAACUCCGUGCCAGCCGCCGCGGUAAUAC
rnacentral:rRNA from 1 species